AGAAUCAACGCUGGCGGCGUGCCUAACACAUGCAAGUCGCACGAGAAAGGGACUUCGGUCCUGAGUAAAGUGGCGCACGGGUGAGUAACACGUGAAUUAUCUACCUCCGAGUGGGGAAUAACUGAGAGAAAUCUUAGCUAAUACCGCAUAACACUUACGAGUCAAAGCAGUAAUGCGCUUGGAGAGGAGUUCGCGGCCGAUUAGUUAGUUGGCGGGGUAAUGGCCCACCAAGACGAUGAUCGGUA
rnacentral:rRNA from 1 species